GGGGGUAUAGCUCAGCUGGGAGAGCAGCAGACUGAAGACACAUCAUUGGUCAUUCUGAAGGUCCCGCGUUCGAUCCGCGGUACCCCCA